UAAAGCAUUAAAAUUAGGAUUUCUUGAUACUAUAGCAAUCCAGGCCGCUCCUUUUAAUGAAAUAAUAUUUUGAAGUUUCAUUAAGUAUUUUUCAGAUUCAGAAAAUCCUUCUAGUGUAGAGAAUAUAUUACCACUUUUUAUAUCUUUAGCAGUGCUUGUUAAAAUAUCAAAGAUUAUAUCUAUGUAUUUAUAAAUUUCAUCAUAAUUUUUUAGUACGAUAAUGAAAAUUACCUCAUCACCAAGAACUCUCCAAAGUUGUGCUUUAAGGUUUUCAUAAACUCUAUAUUGUAACUUACGAAUUAUAUGUGAUAAUACCUUAGCCCAUCCGCUAUAAUUUAUAUUUUUAUAUAAUGAUGAAUUAGCUAUAUCAAAAGAAAAGAACAAAAUCACUUCUGGAUGAUUAGGUUCUUUUUCUUUUUCAUAAAUAUCAGUAUUAAUAUUUUCUUGAAGUUUUUCCUUAUACUUUUUAAGAUUAAAAGCGUUUUCGUUUUUAGCUGAAUUAUGAACAUUAUUUACAUUUUGAGUUUUAUAUUCUUUAUCAUCUACCAUUGUAAAUAUCCUAACCAUUUCCCUCUAUUAGAUGCUGCAUAAGAGGAAACAUUAAAGUAUUCUGCAAUUUUUGAAGUGUCGACCUUAUUACCUACUGUGUUUUCAUCCAUAAUUCUUUUAUAUUCAUGUUUAGGCAUCAACAAGGCUGCUGCAAAUUCAUUGGAUUGAUACUCCUUAUUGGUAUUGCCACUUCUAAAAUACUGAUUUCCAUCUUGACUAUUCCAUAGUUCAUCAUCAAUGCCAUAACCCAUGUGUAAAAAUAAAUGUCCAAGUUCAUGAGCAAUGGUAAAAUUCUUUCUGGUAUCUGGUUGAUAAGGAGAUACCACUAUUUCAAAUGAAUCAUCAACUUUUCUAAUAAAUCCAUCAGAGUAUCCACUUAAAGAACUAUCUUCUAUUACCUUGCCUCCUAAAGCAUCAACAACUUGAUUUAUAUUUACUAUUGGAAUUUGGAUUUUGUAUGUUUGGAUAAUAUCUUGGGUUAUAUCAUUAAUUAGCUCUCUGAUUUUGAAAUCCAUAAAAUCACAUCCUUAUAUAAUAUUUUAUUUAAAUAAUUAUUUAUUAUAAUAUUCAUUAUAUCAAAAACUAUUUUUUUUGGUACAUUUAAUAUUAAUUAUUUUCAUUAACCUUUUGUAUUAUACAAUAUAAUUAUACCAUAUAAAAACUGUUUUUUGUCGAAUGUAUGUUUGAAAAAAUAAAAAUUAGUAAAUUAUCUUAAAAAUAAUUAGAUAUACUUUGGAAGCAAUAAGAAUAUUAACAAUAAGAUAAAUCGUUGAAAUACCAACAUGUGUUAAAUAAUAACAAUAAACAAAUAAUAAAAUUUUAGAUUUCAGAAUAUGAAAGAACCAAAAAACGAUUAACUAGUAAUCUUAAUUAAAUUCAUUUAGUUGAUGUUAAAGUAUGAAAACUAUAGUAGAAGUUGUAAUAAUAAAACGAACGAAAAUUAUCAUACUAAAACAUAAUACAUGCUAUAAUUGUAUUAGAUAAAUGCUUGAAUAUAUACCAAAAGUACUCUUUUUAUAAGAGUGCUUAUUUUUUUGAAAUUCAUCAACAUAUAAACUAUCAAGAAUAUUACUCAACACACCUUAAAAUUGAUUUAAAUUCUUUUUCAUACACAAAGUUAUAUGAUAUAAUAAAAAAGUAAAUAUGUAACCCCAACACAUCUUUACUAAGUCAAACAUUAUUAUAUAGAGCAUUCUUCAUUAUGGAGAGUGCUUUUUCAUUUCUUUGAAUAAUCAUGUUGAUUAUUUAUAAUAUUUUCAUUUAAUUUAUCUUUAUCUAUCAAAUUUAAUGCACAAUUAAUACAAAUGUUAGUUUUCAUAUGACUUUUCUUAUGAAAAGUAAUAUACUUAUUAUCAUCUUUAUUUAUUCCUUUAUUACAGUAAUCACAUAAUAUAGUCUUAGUCAUAUUUUUAUUCCUUUCAUUUUAUAUUUUCCAUAAUUAAGUUUAACAUAUUUAGUAUAUACCUAUGUAUAUAUAUUUAAAACAAUGUUUUUUAUUGCAAUAUAGAAUAUAUUGUAUAAAUAAAAAAAUAUGGAGAAUGGAUAUUUGAUAAUUGUAAAAUUAUGUUAUAAUUAAAAUGCAAGAAUAAUCUUGUGGAACUACAAUCUAAGGGCGAAAGUUUUCGGAAAUCACCUUCGAACGAAAGGGGGUGAGUAUAUGAAAACACUUAUGUUUAUACUUGUUAUAGCGUAUUACAUUACUAUUGUAAUAAAAUCUAUUACAACAAUAGUAAAGUCUAUAACAAGAUUAUUAGAUUCUAUAAGUAGAUUAAAAGAAUCUUUACAUAAACUAAGAAAUCGUCCUGACGGCAAUCAAGACGAUUUCAAUGAAUAAAUCAUUACUUAAAUUAUUUUGAAUUUGAAACUCCGCUCUAGGCUAAUAGAUUGUAGUUUCUUUUUUUGUUUUUGAUACGAAUUUACAUCUUUAUUAUAUCGCAUUUUAAGAAAAAAUAAAACUACGAAUAUUAUAAAUCUAUUUUAAUUAAUUUUUUAUCAUAUCAUUAUUUAAAAGUAGAUAAAACUAAAAAGGGUUCUCUAGAAAUCAAUGUCUAUCUAAUUAUACUUACUUACCAAUACCAUCACUUGGUGUAAACAAGACUCUACUACAUUUUCUCCGUACUCUAAUAUAAAAUCAUCUAGCUGUGUAUCUAUAAAAUUACAAUAAUCAUAUGAACUACCAAUAUAAGCAGCAACAUAUGUGUACACUUAUCUAUUUUAUUUCUAAACAUAUAUAUUAUUAUCCCCCUAAAAAACUUUCAUAAAAACAAAAAGAAAACAUCUUUUUGGCAACUGGCUAACAUAACUCAUAAGAUAUUUAUAUAAGUCUUAGUCCCUAUAGCUUUGCGUCACUAAAUUUCUCUAGUUUUGCCGAUUUAGUUUUAUUCUACAACUAAAAUA
rnacentral:rRNA from 18 species